rnacentral:lncRNA from 1 species
GUAUGAACAUUUUUUAACAGCUCUUGCAACUCACUGCCAAGUUGCUGUCAAGUGGUUCAUACACUGGAUCUUGUCACAACUUCCUCUGUUUUGUCGGAAUAGGUAAAAUUGGGGCUUCAGUGCUGUUUUCAUUUCCAUUUGUCUGAUGUGUUGUUUGGUGGAGGAAGUUGAAUCGAAAGGAGUGUCUAGGAUGGAAAUAAGGGAAGGAGAGGGCAGGAAAUUGUGACGGCAGGUCCAGGUCUGGGAGGCGGACUUCCGCCACGCCUCAGCAAGGUCGGGAGUGGGGGAGGCUCCCACGCUGACACGAAUCGUUUUUCUUAAUUGCAUUGCUUGUAUUUCGCCUCUCUUCCAUGGCUGACUAAAUGAAUAAUUAACAUCCUAAUAACCACCACUGAAUGUCUGUAACAGGGGAAGAAAUUGUCAUGUCUAACCCUGACUGCCUUUUCAGGAGGAUGCUGACUCUUAAAUAAGGAUCCUUUGUUCUGCUGAGCACCUUUCUGUCGAGAGGUUUGGUAAAGCGAUUGAAACCAGGAUGAUAUUUGUGGACCUUCCAUUAUUGAUUGCAAGUUGUCAGCUUUACACUUCAGAGAGAAGCAAGAGACGUGCUUUACCAGCCUCCCUUGCAGCUGGAGAUGGCCAUGUGACACAGUUUCAUCCAAAAAGAUGUCCAGAGGAGUCUCCUGGGGAACUUCAGAUUAAAACAAAGAAGCCAAUGAAGAGAGCUCUUCACUGUUGUGUGUGAGUGCAAUGCCUGGAACUGUGGCAGCCAUCUUGUGAUAAUAAGGGGAAGGCCAAGAGAAUUGGGGAGACAUGGAACAGAUAGCUGGACCUUGAGCUGCUACUGAAGCAACUCUGGAAGCAUGCACCCCUAGACUUCUUGAUAACAAUAUACAUCCUGGUGAUUUAAGUGACUGCUCAUCUGCUGUUUGCAGCCAAAAGUGUAUUAAUUAAUGGAGAGUUGUGAGAAAUGAGGCUGGAGAGGUUAGCAGGGCCUAGAUCAUACAGAGUCCCUAAAGGCAAAGGGGGCAAGUGAAGGAUUUGGCAUAGGGAAGGGACACUCAGGCUUAAAGAGGGUCAGUCGCUACCCAGGACUCCACUGCUAAUAUGUGUCAGAGCUGGGAUUUGCACUGAGAUCUUCCAAGCCAGGACCAAGUGUCUUUUCCACUGUCGCGUAGGGCAUUUUACCUCUUCAACUGAAUCGUCCUAGCCAACUCCCGCAGGAGAGGCUUGCUCAUGGCUUGUUUUGGCCAUGGGCCAUUUCUAACCACAUGCUGGAUAAGUUGAGAUUUCGCCAAAGCUUCUUCCUAAUUUGGGAGCAGAUCUGAGAACUUCAUAAGUGAGACUGGAGGAGGUGUGUGGAAAAAUUGGAGAAGGUGAGAAGGUAAAGCAGUUGACGUGUGAACUGGACUUAGGGGAAAGACUCACAAAGAUCCAGGACAUGGAGGAAAUUAGACAAAAAGGAUGGUGCCAACCUUUCUGCCAUCUUGGUUUCAUCGGCUGAGAAGAAAAUUACAGCCACAGUAUCCUCUCCUGCCUCUCCAUGAUUUACACCUCUCUGACACAGGCUUCUAUGAGACUCCAAGCUCCCCAAGGCCAAAAUAGUGUCUGACCCAUGGUGUUGCCCAGAGACUGGCUCAGUGUGUGACCCACAAUGGGUACUUUUCAGCGUCUGCCCGUGUGGACUGAAACUUGAGACAAAGUGAAAUUAGGGGUAACCUUAUCUCUAGGGUGGCCACCUCCUC